rnacentral:lncRNA from 1 species
AUAUUGCAGGAAAGCGGGCUAGGGUGUGACGCUGCUUUCUCGUUCAGAAUGUCAUACCCAGGCUAUCCCCCCACCGGCUACCCGCCUUUCCCUGGAUAUCCUCCUGCAGGUCAGGAGUCAUCUUUCCCCACUGCGGGUCAGUACCCGUACCCUAGUGGCUUUCCACCAAUGGGAGGAGGUGCUUACCCACCAGCACCAAGUGGUGGGUAUCCAGGAGCUGGAGGCUACCCCGCACCUGGAGGUUAUCCAGCCCCUGGGGGCUAUCCUGGAGCCCUAAGUCCAGGGGGUCCUCCAGCCUAUCCUGGAGGUAAGUUAGGACUUGAGAUUUGCUGAAGUGUUGUGUUUUAUCCCCCCCUUACCCUCAGCGUUAUUUCCUGUAUUGUGAGAGUUCAGAGUUACUCUUAAGUUAGCCAUGGAGAGCUAAAACUUAGGUAGUAAGCUGGGGUGAUGAAGAUUCUUAAGAGAGAGAGAGCUGGGAGACUAAAAUAUUCUCCUGUGAUCAGGAGCUGUAAAGUUCUUGAUAAUGAAAGGCCUGUGUAAAUCACUACUUGAUUAUUAUUGAUCUUAACUGCUUGAGAGGGACCGGAGUGGUGGUUCUCAACCUUCCUAAUGCUGCUAUCUCUAAUACAGUUCCUCAUGUUGUGGUGACUCCCCCAACCAUAAAAUUAUUUUUGUUGCUACUUCAUAACUCUAAUUUUGCUACUGUUAGGAAUCGUAAUGUAAAUAUUUUUGGUGAUACAGGUUUGCCAAAGGGUUCUCGACCCACAGGUUGAGAAUGUCUGGGCUGGCGCAGUGGCCUUAGUGGGUAAAAGCAGUGACUGCUUCCAGAGGACCUGGCUUAGGUUCCAGCAGCCACAUAGCAGCUCACAGCUGUCUGUGCCACUAUUUCCAGAGGCUCUGACACCCUCUUUCAGCCUCCUAGAGCAUUGCAUGAGUAUAGUGCAUUGAUGUACCCACAAAACACAUGUAUACAUAAAAUAACGAAAUC